UACGUAGGGUGCGAGCGUUAAUCGGAAUUACUGGGCGUAAAGCGUGCGCAGGCGGUGAUGUAAGACCGGUGUGAAAUCCCGGGGCUCAACCUCGGAACUGCAUUUGUGACUGCAUCGCUGGAGUGCGGCAGAGGGGGAUGGAAUUCCGCGUGUAGCAGUGAAAUGCGUAGAUAUGCGGAGGAACACCGAUGGCGAAGGCAAUCCCCUGGGCCGGCACUGACGCUCAGGCACGAAAGCGUGGGGAGCAAACAGG
rnacentral:rRNA from 1 species